AUGGACGCCGCGGCGGAGCCUCUGCUGCCGCAACCGGCAACCGCCGUGGACCACCUCGGCCGUCCAGUCUCCCGCCUAACCUCCGGGCGGUGGCCCGCCGCGCUCUUCAUCAUCGGGGUGGAGAUCUCAGAGCGGUUCGCCUACGGCGGCAUCGCAGGGAACCUCAUCACCUACCUGACCGGCCCGCUGGGGCAGUCCACGGCGUCGGCCGCCGCGGCCAUCAACGCCUGGAGCGGCGCCGCACUUCUGCUGCCGUUGCUCGGAGCCGCCGUCGCCGAUUCCUGGCUCGGCCGUUACCGCACUGUAGUAUGCGCCUCCCUGCUCUAUAUCCUGGGCCUGGGCAUGCUCACACUAUCAUCAAUUCUUGCGCCACAACAACCAGCACAAUUUGGAGAUCACAUGGAUUCCGCUUUAUCCUCGACUUCAACAAUUCAUUUAGCUUUCUUCUACGUGUCCCUGUAUAUUGUGGCCUUUGCUCAAGGUGGCCACAAACCUUGUGUGCAAGCAUUUGGGGCAGACCAAUUUGAUGAGAACGAUCCUGAAGAAUUUGCCUCGAGAAGUUCCUUCUUCAAUUGGUGGUAUUUUGGGACGUAUGCAGGCAGCGUUGUUACAGUUUCAAUCCUGAAUUACAUUCAAGAUAACAUAAGCUGGCAGUUUGGGUUUGGAAUCCCUUGCAUCGUUAUGACCCUUUCUCUUGCAGUUUUCUGGCUUGGGACCAGGACUUAUCGAUUUUAUCCUGUAAGAAGUGAUGGAAGCCUAAUUGGACAGGUUGUCAAACACAUUUUAUCAUUGGUUAGAACCUGGCAUGCAUCAUGGAGUUCGGGGUCAUCUGAUGAUUCCCACUGCAUGCCAACAUCGUCAUCUAGCAGACUCAAGGAUAAUGCAGAAAUGACAUGUUUCCCUGAUGAAGCCAAGUCUCUGCUUAAAUUGUUUCCAAUAGGGGCAACCUGCCUGAUCUAUGCAGUUGUUUUUGCCCAGUGGAUGACGCUGUUCACUAAACAAGCAAGUACACUAGAUAGGUGGAUAGGUAGCUUACAGGUACCAGCUGCUGCUCUACAAAGCCUAAUCAGUGUGUCAAUCGUCAUCUCGAUUCCUAUAUAUGACCGGAUACUUGUUCCACUAGCUAGAAAAUACUCAAAGAACCCUUGUGGUAUCACAACCUUGCAAAGGAUUGGAACUGGACUAGCCAUGUCUGUGAUCUUGAUGGUUGUCGCGGCCAUCGUGGAGAUGAGAAGGCUCAGGGUAGCAAGAGAACAUGGCCUUGUGGACAAUCCCGAAGCAACGAUUCCGAUGAGCUUUUGGUGGGUGGUACCUCAGUUCGUCCUGACUGGCUUGGCGGACAUGUUCACCAUGGUCGGCUUGCAGGAGUUCUUCUACGACCAAGUGCCGGAUAGCCUGCGCAGUUUGGGCCUUGCCUUAUACUUGAGCAUAUUCGGAAUUGGGAGCUUCAUCAGUGGCUUUCUGGUGUAUGCAAUCGACCGGGUAACCAGUGACGGUGGAGAUCGUUGGUUCUCGAACAAUCUAAACCGAGGUCAUCUUGAUUACUUUUACUGGCUUCUGGCCGCGCUCAGCGUUGUCGGGCUGGCUGCUUACCUCCACUUUUCACAAGUGUAUGUCCCCAAGAAGAAGGGCAUUUCAGCAGAAUGA
rnacentral:rRNA from 1 species